AGCUCAAACUUAUCUCUUUUCUUCACUGGUAAUCAAAGAGCGAGCAUCAGAGGAAUACUGUGAAAAUAUUUUGAAGAUAUCAAAGAGUGAGCAUCAAAGGAAUCUUGUGAAAACAUUUCGCAGCAAUUGAAGAGUGAGCAUCAGAGGAAUCUUGUAAAAACAUUUCGCAGGCAAGCGAAGAACGAGUAUCACAAAAAAAAUCGUUUCAUAAAGAUGAACACCAGUCAAUGCACUUAUCAGUCGAGAAACAAACUAGAAAACACAUACAUUACCUACAAAGAUGGAUCUUACAAAUAUUAUAAUAUCGAUGGAACGGCAUUUUAUCAUGACGGACGUAGCAGAUCUAACUUCUUUAUGGGUGAAUGUGGAAUGUAUUUCUUUUUUCAAGACGUUGAUGGUUGGCGAUUAGAUUGUUGGGGUGCAGAGAAAUUUCGGGAUUUACUCGACUCUAAAUCCUUAAGGUUGGGGCAAAUUUUUGAAGAAAUGUUGCACAUUCAAGCGAAAAAGAAAAAACAAAGGGUUGAUAAGUUACAUUCUGUCAUGUCUUCCACGAACACACAUUUAGCAUUGUGUCAUUAAUUUGACGGCGGCCAAUGUCAGGAGAAUUGUCUGAGAUAACUUCAAACUCCUUAUUUUGUAUCAUACAUUUAAUUUAUAUUCGUAUUGAUAAACCUCGUCCCCAGGUUUUUUGCCUUUCUUUCUUCACAGCGCUUGUUAGAUAUACCGAAAAAAGGUAAAUGAUCCUGGGAUCGAGACUGCACACUCAUAAUGCAAUACAUGACAAAAUUAUAUAUUUAUUUUUUCGACAUCAAGAUCAAUAAAAAUGUUUUAGACUUUAGAAAAGAAUGUUUGCUUUCUCAAACACGUUGAAUGAAAUUUAAUAGCCUUUAUAUGGUGCUCCUUAAAAAUCGUUGUAGAUCGCUUAAUAUGGAUUUUUCACUGCAAUAUUUUUUUAAUAGAUAGCUUACCCAUGCUUCGAAAAAAGAAUUAUCAAUUAGACAACCAUCCUAUCCAUAGAUACUACAGUUGUCUUCUGUAUAGUGUAUACUUAAUGUAACAUUUUGAACAGGACCCACAUUGAUAACAGUGUUUCCCACACUGAUCCUCUAUAAAUAUUCGGAAUAAUAAUAAUAAUAAUAAUAAUAAUAAUAAUAAUAAUAAUAAUAAUAAUAAUAAUAAUAAUAAUAAUAAUAAUAAUAAUAAUAAUAAUAAUAAUAAUAAUAAUAAUAAUAAUAAUAAUAAUAAUAAUAAUAAUAAUAAUAAUGAUGAUGAUGAUGAUGAUGUAUUAUCAUUCAGUUAGGAAUAGGAUUGUUGUAAUAAUUAUAUAUAAUAAAAUUUUUCUUAGAAAUAGACUUAUCAGUGGAAUAUUAUUUUUAAACAAUUUGCAUAUUUUUUCAGAA